rnacentral:rRNA from 1 species
AGAGUUUGAUCCUGGCUCAGGACGAACGCUGGCGGCGUGCCUAACACAUGCAAGUCGAGCGAUGAAAAAGAAGUAGAUCUCUUCGGAGUGACGCCUCUUUGGAUUAGCGACGGACGGGUGAGUAACACGUGAGCAACCUGCCGUACACAUUGGGAUAGCCUCGGGAAACUGGGAUUAAUACCAAACGAAACAUAUUGAUAGCAUUAUCAAAAUGUCAAAGAUAUAUCGGUGUACGAUGGGCUCGCGUCUGAUUAGCUAGUUGGUGAGAUAAAAGCUCACCAAGGCAAUGAUCAGUAGCCGGCCUGAGAGGGUGAUCGGCCACAUUGGGACUGAGACACGGCCCAAACUCCUACGGGAGGCAGCAGUGGGGAAUAUUGCACAAUGGAGGGAACUCUGAUGCAGCGACGCCGCGUGAGCGAAGAAGGAAUUCGUUUCGUAAAGCUCUGUCCUAUGGGAAGAUAAUGACGGUACCAUAGAAGAAAGCCCCGGCUAACCACGUGCCAGCAGCCGCGGUAAUACGUAGGGGGCAAGCGUUGUCCGGAAUGAUUGGGCGUAAAGGGCUCGUAGGCGGCUAAUCAAGUCUGGAGUGAAAGUCCUGCUUUUAAGGUGGGAAUUGCUUUGGAAACUGAAUAGCUUGGGUGUAGGAGAGGUUAGUGGAAUUCCCAGUGUAGCGGGGAAAUGCGUAGAAGAUUGGGAGGAACACCGGUGGCGAAGGCGACUAACUGGACUAUAACUGACGGCUGAGGAGCGAAGGGGGGGGUACAAACAAGGAUAAAUCCCCUGGUAAUCCCCCAUGGUAAACGAAGAAUGCCGGGGGGGGGGGGG